rnacentral:rRNA from 1 species
UAAUACGUAGGAUCCGAGCGUUGUCCGGAAUUACUGGGCGUAAAGGGUGCGUAGGCGGCAAUGUGCGUCAGAGGUGAAAUCCACGGGCUUAACUUGUGGGGUGCCUUUGAUACGGCAUAGCUUGAGUACGAGAGAGGUCGAUGGAAUUCCUGGUGUAGCAGUGAAAUGCGUAGAUAUCAGGAGGAACACCGGUGGCGAAGGCGGUCGGCUGGCUCGUAACUGACGCUGAGGCACGAAAGCGUGGGGAUCAAACAGGAUUAGAUACCCUGGUAGUCCACGCCAUAAACGAUGUAUGCUUGGUGUUGGGUGAGUAAUCACUCAGUGCCGAAGGCAACCUGAUAAGCAUACCGCCUGGGGAGUACGAUCGCAAGGUUGAAACUUAAAUGAAUUGACGG